rnacentral:rRNA from 1 species
UACAGAGGGUGCGAGCGUUGUCCGGAAUCACUGGGCGUAAAGGGCGCGUAGGUGGCGCUCCAAGUCCGUGGUGAAAGCUCGAUGCUUAACAUCGAGUCGGCCACGGAGACUGGAGGGCUCGAGCACUGUAGGGGCAGAUGGAAUUCCGGGUGUAGCGGUGGAAUGCGUAGAGAUCCGGAAGAACACCGGUGGCGAAGGCGGUCUGCUGGGCAGUUGCUGACACUGAGGCGCGACAGCGUGGGGAGCAAACAGGAUUAGAUACCCUGGUAGUCCACGCCGUAAACGAUGGGCACUAGAUGCUUGGGGGAGCGACCCUCUGAGUGUCGUCGCUAACGCAGUAAGUGCCCCGCCUGGGGAGUACGGCCGCAAGGCUGAA